rnacentral:rRNA from 1 species
GAAUGCUGACAUAAGUAACGAUAAAGCGGGUGAAAAGCCCGCUCGCCGGAAGACCAAGGGUUCCUGUCCAACGUUAAUCGGGGCAGGGUGAGUCGACCCCUAAGGCGAGGCCGAAAGGCGUAGUCGAUGGGAAACGGGUUAAUAUUCCCGUACUUGGUGUUACUGCGAAGGGGGGACGGAGAAGGCUAUGUUGGCCGGGCGACGGUUGUCCCGGUUUAAGCGUGUAGGUGUGUGUUCCAGGUAAAUCCGGUUCACUUUAACACUGAGGCGUGACGAC